UAUAAAGAGUGUUUAUCACCUAUGGGAAGUGCUAGAGAGGUGAGGGCCCCAAUCCUCUGUCCCCUCCAGCAGCAUGUUGUGUCAUUGAAAGUCUUUGGGGGACUCCACUCCCUCCAUUCAGAUUCCUCCUCCAGUGGGCAUGCAGAUGGGGGCAACAUGGCACCGGAGUACCCCAGUUUGGCAAUAAGUAGAGGUCCCAUCAGACACACGUCCUGUGGGUAGACACUUUUUGGUGGACCACAGUUUUGCAGUAGAAAAAUGGCCGCAUCCAAGAAGACAAAAAGGCUGGCACCAUAUAAAAGAAUAUAAAUGUUUGCCACACAUCCAAAACCACAUAUAAGAAGGCUACAAAAGAUGAUGUACUCCAAAUGGUCAAAAAUGCAGUUUUAUCGGACUUAUAAUAAGAGCUUAAAAACAGCAAAAAAAAAAUCAAAUGCCCCCCAGUUAUUAACUAGUAAAUGUAUGAACACUGAAAGGUGUAGAUUCAACAAUCACAAGAUAGAAAUGACAAUGUAUGCCAGUACUAUAAAUAUAUGGUCACCUUACACAAACCAAUGGCCACUGUACCCAACACAAUAUAGCAUAGGAUAACCAAAACUACAUGUACAGUUAAUAAACAAAGGUGCAAGUGAACAGUACCAUCAAGCAACUAGGAGAUGGCCUCAAAGACAUCGGGACCUGCUGAGGUCAUUCUGUGACUUUUCAUCUAGACUGCACUAUUGUGUUUUAUGCUUGUGCUCCCAAGAACAUUUUUUGUCUAAGUGGCCUCAUAAUUCCUUGUUUUUGUCAGUACAGAUUGCA